GAUGAACGCUGGCGGCGUGCUUAACACAUGCAAGUCGAACGGAGGGGUGAUUUCGGUUGCUCUUCAGUGGCGCACGGGUGAGUAACACGUAGCUGACCUGCCCUCAAGAGUGGGAUAACGGGUCGAAAGACCUGCUAAUACCGCAUAAGCUCACGCGCAUUAGAGGCGCGCGAGAAAAGGCGCAAGCCGUUUGAGGAGGGGGCUGCGGACCAUCAGCAGUUGGUGGGGUAACGGCCUACCAAGGCGACGACGGGUAGGGGGCCUGAGAGGGUGGUCCCCCACACUGGGACGUGA
rnacentral:rRNA from 1 species